AAUAAUGCGACGAUGGAGAAGAGUACACAGCAUCGGACCCACAGGGAGGAUACGCCGUAGAUUGAGAGCGUGUCCGGGAAUCAGGGCUGUCGAAGUUCGCUCCGGAGCAGUUCUUUGAACAUGACGCCCAGGAGGGUGAUCAUUAAGUAGAGGAUACCGGCCACAGACCGUUAUUUCUGUUUAAAGUGAGGCAGUAUUAGCUGAGCGUUUAUUCUUUUAACGGGAAACGUCCGCAGCUGUCUAACAAGGGUGGUACCACGGUCUUUUCGUCCCUUAG
rnacentral:ncRNA from 1 species